rnacentral:lncRNA from 1 species
GGAGGAUGAAAUUUAAAGCCAACCAGAAGCAUGAGACUCAGCCUUCAAUAAAUAAAUAAACAAAUAACAAGCAGAGGGCUGUAGAUGCUGCUCCGUGGUAGAGAUCCUGACCGGCAGCCUGGGCAGGGAAAUGAUUGGCCGCCCUGAGGCAGGAGAGCUCAGCAUCUGUAAGCAUCCGGAAACCCAGAGGCUGCAGCAAGGUUGCCCACCGAUGAGCUCACCCGAUAGCCAAGAACAACACCCGCGGCUCUCAGAGAACCCACUGUGGGUCCAUCGCUGGUUCAGUGUGGAUUGUGGGCCUAACCACCAACACCGCCGAACGAAACCUGUGUACCACUCAUGAGCAACGGGCCUCUCUAUGUGUGCUUGAAAAAAGUCCAAGAACAAGGGGGAAGGGGGUGGCAACCCCUUCUCCCACACGCCACCCCUCCCGAACCCACGUGCUCGAAUUUUCCCCUGCUAUCCCUCUGCACCGGGGGAAGCUGUUUCAAAAGACAACAAAUGCUGUCAUUCCGAUUCCAGCAUCUGGAGCCUCUAGAGGAGCUGGAAUGGCUGCUGCCUUCUCUGAGUGGGGAGAGGGCUCUCCGAUAAGCUACUAGGUCUCCUAAAAUGAGUAGGAAUGUAGCAAGCUGCCCUGAGGUCCCCCAAGCACCCCCACACUUCUACCCAGCUCAGAAGUUACUGAAGAAAGUAUCUGACACCAGCUUUCCUCGAGUUCCCCCUCCUGUCUGUGCCACCAUGCAUACUGUGGGGGCGGGGCCGGGUGAAGAGAGGACAGGAGCCAAGAGCUG